UUACGACCAUAUCAGGUUGAAAUUCCAGUUCCCGUACGAUCACUAAAGUUAAGCAACUUCGAGCCUGGUCAGGGUGACCGGUUGGGAAUAUCAGGUGCUGUAAG